AGUAAAGUCAGCUAAUACAAGCUUUUGGGCCCAUACCCCAAGAAUGUGGAUGAAACCCCCACCUUUACUG
rnacentral:tRNA from 1 species